CUUCAUGGCCCGCCCGUGCUGGGUGCCAGGUAUAAGCCGCUCGACUGCUUUGAGGUUACCUGCGCUCCUGGCCGCAACCCCUCACCCCACUGAUCUAUGUGCCACAGGCCAACCUGAUGUGGACAAUCCUUCACAGAAACUCUCCUCACAGGCGAUUCUAGGCUGUGACAAGUUCAACAGUAAAAGCCAACUAUCACACAAGCCAUAGAUGGAGAGAUGGAGAUUGCCCAGCAGGUAAAGGUGCUUGAUGCCAAGCCAGAUGACCUGAGUCCCAUUCCUGCGACCCACGUGGUGGAAGAACAGAGCCAACCCCUGCAAGUUCUCCUUUGACCUCCACAUACAUGCAUCACCCACAUAUGAGCACACGAAACAAAUUAAAGGUUCUCCUCUGGCCUUCACACACAUACAUGCACGCAGAAACACGCAUGCAUUAGGAAAAUAAUACAGCAGAGGCAAGCACUGAAAAUGCCCACUACCCCCAGUGACAACGCCCACUUUAGGGGUUCUAAUCCAGAUUUCUGUUCCCCAUGGCUCAACCAGUGACUCAUGUUUAUAAGUAUUGGUUUUCUUAAUGGCAGAAUUGGGUAUACAUGUGAUAAUUUUUGUAUUGCCAGUGAGAGCAUAUAUGUGCCUAAAUAUGAAGGAAUUGAGUGAAA